UUGAAAGGGAAACGAUUGAAGUCAGUCGUACCGACGGAAAAUCAGCUCUUCGAGUGCGGACUUGUGGGCGUUCGUGAGCUUUAACCGGCCUCGUCGUUUGCUACGUUUGUGCUUUUUGGGUGUACUUUUUCGUAUGGUAGGCCAACGUCAGUUUCGAUCACCAUAAAAUGAUCGGAGGAAUGUAGCUUCGAUCUUGUAUUGAAGUGUUAUAGCCUUUGGUAGAUGUGGUGACUGAGACUGAGGAUUGCAACGAAUACCCUUUGGGCUAUCCGUCUGACCUCUGAAAGUUGCUUAGGUGCCGAAAGCUUGCUUACGGUCAUCUAUGACGACGGUCAAAAGGUUAGAACGUGAUUAUAUUCGUUAAGGAUGUUGACGUA
rnacentral:rRNA from 1 species